UACAGAGGGUGCAAGCGUUGCUCGGAAUUAUUGGGCGUAAAGGGUAGGUAGGUGGUCUCAUUUGUGUGGGGUGAAAGCCUUGGGCUUAACUCAAGAAGUGCCCCGCAAACGGUGAGACUGGAGUACUGGAGAGGCUAGCGGAAUUCCCGGUGUAGCGGUGAAAUGCGUAGAGAUCGGGAGGAACACCAGAGGCGAAGGCGGCUAGCUGGACAGUUACUGACACUCAACUACGAAAGCGUGGGGAGCAAACAGG
rnacentral:rRNA from 1 species